UUCAAUGUUUGAAAGUAACCAUGUAUAAGGGUGAAAAUAUCCAGAGAAUAUUGAAGGAACGUGCAACCAUCCGUCUGCAACGGCGGUAAAUUGAUGGCUGGCCUGAUUUAAGGCUGGCGCACCGUAUCGGUGUCCCUGAGCGGGGCGGCGGGACGAUUCUUUCAUGGCAGGUCAUGUGCUGGGCCUGUUUCAUCACCGCUUCGCAAACCUGUUUAGAAUGCACACUAUAAGUAGCAGGAAGGGCGUAGAUUCUUUGACUAAUCGGG
rnacentral:ncRNA from 1 species